rnacentral:misc_RNA from 1 species
AUAGGUAGAGAAUUUAUUUGAAGAAUCUGUUAUAUGUUUGUUUGCUAUAGAAUCUAUUAUCCAACAAGAUUUAUCAAGAUUGGCAUAAAAAAAUGACCUAAUUUGACAAAAUUGGAAGAGACAACUAUGAAAAAUUGAGAUUCAAGCUAAGACAAUAAACAUCUUAGGGAUUGAACUUCUUCAUUGGAAAAAAUCCCAACAUCAUUUGUUCCUUUAAAGUAAUCUACUGUUUUAGACAUAUUUACUUGUGGUCAAGAAGACAAGGGUUAGGUAGAGGCACAAUACAUGAGGAAUAGUUAAAAAAACCGAAAAAAGGUCCACGUACUGUGAACAGUGCGUAUGAACAGUGCAAGUGAACAGUACCAAAUGAAUAGUACUCAAGCCCGCCCUAAUGAAUCGAAUGCUUUAAUACCAUGAUGAAAGAAACGGAUAUUUGAGGGAAUUUUUUGUGUAUUUCUUAAUCAUAAAAAAUGAUGUACAAGGUUCCUAUUUAUGCACAAAGAAUCAGAACUAAAUAGGAAACUAAAUCACAAUAGAAAAAAUACAAUUAUUGCCUAACAAUCUGUAUCCCUAAAAUCAAGGGAUUCCAACAAUAAUUUGUUAUUAACAAGGUCUUAG